CCUACGGGAGGCAGCAGUAGGGAAGCUUCCACAAUGGACGCAAGUCUGAUGGAGCAACGCCGCGUGAGUGAAGAAGGUUUUCGGAUCGUAAAGCUCUGUUGUUGGUGAAGAAAGAUAGUGAGAGUAACUGCUCAUUAUUUGCCGGUAAUCAACCAGAAAGUCACGGCUAACUACGUGCCAGCAGCCGCGGUAAUACGUGCCAGCAGCCGCGGUAAU
rnacentral:rRNA from 1 species